rnacentral:rRNA from 1 species
UACGUAGGGUCCGAGCGUUGUCCGGAUUUAUUGGGCGUAAAGAGCUCGUAGGCGGCUCGGUAAGUCGGAUGUGAAAACUCGGGGCUCAACCCCGAGACGCCAUCCGAUACUGCUGUGGCUUGAGUCUGGUAGGGGAGAUCGGAAUUCCUGGUGUAGCGGUGAAAUGCGCAGAUAUCAGGAGGAACACCGGUGGCGAAGGCGGAUCUCUGGGCCAGUACUGACGCUGAGGAGCGAAAGCGUGGGGAGCAAACAGG